GGAUUCAUUUUGUUAAUCUACAACUCUUGCCUCAUAAUACAUCAUUACAACAAAAUAAUCAUUUAUCGAGCAUUAGUAUGUUGAUAAUCAAGAAAAUAUUGCUAAUGAUAAUUACUGACGAAUAGAAGAGAUACUUUCAUUAAAUAUUGCUAUUAAGAAUCCUAACCCUCGUCUUGUGCUUGACAUUCCAUUUUGAUCAUGGACAUGGGUGUUGGUCCGAAGUAAUAGGUUUGUGUCUUUAACUCAUAAAUCAAACACAAUUAAAAUCAGAAAAUAACAAGAUCUAAACACAAGAUUUUUCAGCCCAAAGGCCCCGAGGUUCGGCGACCGCUUCCAACACCGAAUCCUAUUGAGCAUCCAUUAAGAUUAAGCUCGAAUCCACUAUAAAUCGCCACAAUAGUAGGCAAAAGUUUCGUUACAGAACACUUAGUUCUAACUCCCUCAAACAUACAAGAUUUUCUCACAAUAAUCUAGAACUCACACAAGAGUUCAUCACAAGAAUAUUUUCUCUCAUAAAAUCACAAAGAAAUCAUAGAAGUGUAAGACUUUUAGAGAAAAUGAAAAACAAAAUGAGAGAGAAGCUGCUGGAAUGAUAUUCACCUUUGACGACCCUGGAUAUUUUUGCUUUUAUGAGAGAGAGAGAGAGAGUCUUGCAUUUGAUCCAAUGGUCCAUGCCUUGUCACUUGUCAAUAAUCCAGUGAAAGUGCCUUUUUAAGUCAACAAACACGUUUUGUUAAAACCGAUUUCCUUAAUUCCAGAUUCUUCCACUUACUAGGUCACCAUAUCGAGCUACAAACAAUUUGGGCCAGAAGACAAAAAACACGUCCGUGCCUCACAAAAAUUCUGCAAACCAUCUUCUACAAUCUCUACCUUUUGCUGCAUUUUGUGACGAUUUAUAAGUGAAUUCAAAACUUAGUCUAUACUUUAUUUGCUCUCAUCACCUGUACAAAAACACAAAGUUAUUAUGCUUCAAGAUUAAUCAAUCUUAAAGAAUCGGUAAACUUACUAAUAAGGAUUACCUUGGUUCCAGCAUCUGCAGGAUUUACCUUAGUAGAAAUUUUGAUCAAUUUAAUAUCACCCCUAUCAAUUAUAUCUCUAAUAAAAUGGAACUUUACAUCUAUGUGCUUGGAUCUAUCGUGCAAAAUAUGGUUUUUACUUAAGAAAAUUGCAUUUUGGUUGUCAGAACACAGCUCCACUUGAUUUUCUAUAAGACCUAAUUCAUCAAGUAAACCCUUCAAUCAUAAUCCCUCCUUCACUGCUUCAGUUGUAGCAAUGUAUUCAGCCUCAAUUGAAGACAAAGCAACCAAUUUUUGAAGUUGGGAUUUCCAGCUAAUGAUAUUUGAAUCCACAUAACCUUUUAAUGUAAGUCCAUUUUUAUUAGUUUUGAACAUUAGACCUAAUUGACUUGUUCCUUUCAGAUAUUUAAUCAAUUCUUUUAUGCAUUGCCAAUGCAAUUAACCUGGGUUACUCAUAAAUCUGCUUAUCACACUCACACAUAAGCAAUAUCAGGUCUAGAGUAUAUCAUAACAUACAUUACAGAUCCAACAACAUUAGAAUAAGGGACAUUCAUCAUUCAUCUAUAUUCAUCUUCAGUUUUAGGUAAUUGAUCAGCAUAUAAUUUCAUACUGGUAGAUAAAGGCAGGCUAACAGGCUUAGUAUCAUGAAGGGAAAAUCUUUUAAUUACCUUAUCAACAUAAGAUUUUUGUGUUAGAAACAAAUUUCCAUUAUUCUAUCCCUUUUUAUUUCCAUGCCCAAAAUUUUUCUGGCUAGUCCUAAAUCUUUCAUUUCGAAUUCUGAUUUCAACUUUUCUUUAAUUGAAUUUAGUGCAACAGAAUUAUGACCAACAAGGAGCAUAUCAUCAACAUACAAGAGAAGAUAGAAAAAUUCAGAUUCACCAUCUCUUUUUUAGUAAAAACAGGGAUCAUAUUCUGAUUUUUUAAAAUUCAAACCUUGUAUAAAAGAGUCAAAUCUUUUAUACCACUUUCCAGGAGCCUGUUUUAGGCCAUACAAAGAUUUUUUCAAGAGACACACUAAGUUCCCCUUUCCUUUUACUUCAAACCUUCUUGGUUGAGUCAUAUGUAUGGUUUCAUCUAAAAAACCAUACAAGAAGGCAUUUUUCAUGUAAAGUUGUUCUAACUCUAAGUCAAAUUGUGUCACUAUGGCAAGUAGGACUCUAAUAGAUGUAUAUUUAACUACGAGUGAAAAAAUUUCAGUAUAGUCUAUACCUUCUCUUUCAUUGAAAUCUUUAGCUACAAGUCUUGUCUUAUACCUUUUAUCAUUUGUCUUUAUCUCACAUUUUUUGAUCUUAUAUACCCAUUUACAAUCAAUCAAUUUACAAUCUUUGGGUUUCUCAACUAAGAUCUAGGUUUUAUUCUUAUGUAGGGAGUUCAUCUCAUCUUCCAUUGCAGCAAUCCACUUAAGGGAUUCUUUGGGAAAAAAUAGCCUCUUCAUAAGAGGUAGGUUCUAUGUCAAACAAAUUGGGUUCAAAGUGGGCAGACACAAAAUCAGCGCACUGAUACCUGGAAAGAGGUCUUAUUUGCCUCAUUUCUCUGUCCCUAGCAAGCUGUAGUCCUGCAAGUCAUUUGCAGGCUCCAGAUGCUGAUCCUUUUCAAGAAUUUCAUCAUCUAUAAUGAUCUGUGAUUCUACCUGAUGUGGAUCCACCUCAAACUGAGUGUAGUCAUUUAAAAUCUCCCUAUUCAGAUUUAUUUCAGUGAUAAUAAACUCAUCAUUUCCUAAUUUUUCUAUGUCACUAAGAUAAGGAAAGUCAUCUUCAUUAAAGAUAACAGAUCUACUUAUUAUCACCUUGUACCUUCUCAUAUCUCUUAACCACAGUUUAUAGCCUUUAACUCCUUCUCCAUAUCCUAAGAACACACCCUUCAAUGAUCUAGGGUCCAGUUUUGAUUCUGUAUGAUGUGCAUAUGUAGCACAUCUAAAGGUUCUAAGAUAGGAGUAGUCUGGGAAUGUACCAGACCAGAUUUGCUUAGGAAUUUUAUUGUUUAGAGAGCUUGAAGGACAUCUAUUUAUUAGAUAACAGAAAAUUUUUACUAUCUCACCCCAAAAGAUUUUUGGAAGGCCAUAGCCGAUCAACAUACAUCUUGUCCUCUCAAGAAUAGUUCUAUUUAAUCUCUCAGCAACCCUAUUUUGCUGAGGAGAAUAGCUAAUUGUUUUAUGUCUCAUAAUCCAUUGUUUAUUACAAUAUUGGUCAAAUUCUGAAUUAUAGAAUUCAAGCCCAUUGUAGUUCUUAAUAUUUUUAUCUUCUUACCAGUCUGAUUUUCAAUUAAUACAUUCUAAUAUUUAAAAGUUGCAAAAGUAUCAGACUUAGAUUUUAAUAAGAAAAUCCAUAUUUUCUUUGAGUAAUCAUCAAUGGUGAGAAGAUAAUAUUUGUAACCAGAUACUAUAGGAACAAGUACAGGUCUCUAUAAAUUAGAAUGUAUAUAUUCAAGGACAUUUUGGGACUUAUACAGUCCUGCUUUAAAGGGCAAUCUGACUUGUUUUCCAAUUAUACAAUGUUCACAAAAAGUUAAUUUUUUAACACUAUCAUUCCCAAAUGCCCCUUGAUAUGAUAGAGUUUUUAAAACUUUUUCACUUAAAUGGCCAAGCUUUUUAUUCCAUAAUUCUGAUUUAUCAGAAUGUGUGAUAAAUUUCGCAGCAUUAUUAGGUAAAAUGAUUUCAGCACCUAUUACAUAAAUUCCAUUGAGCUUAGGUGAACUGACAGUAAGUUCUUGAUUUUCUUGUUAUAUUUAUAGAACCAUUCUUAAUUCCAAUUUAGUAAUUUUCAUCAUCAAGAACUCCCAGAGAUAUGAGGUUUCUUCUAAGUGCUGGCACAUAUCUAGUGUGUUUCAACAACAUGUGAUGGCCAUUUUUAAAUUUCGGCAACACAUUGCCAACUCCCUUCACUUGACAUGACUCAUCAUUCCCAAGUUUUACAAAUCCUCCAUCAAGACUAGAAUAGUAAAAAAAACAGCAAAUAUUGGGUGUCAUAUAAAAAGAACAACCUGAAUCUAGGACCCAGUCCUGAUCAGUACUUUCAGAUAAAGACACAUAGGCAACUCCAAAGUUAGCUCCUGCUUCUUUGUAAUUAGCAACAAUGGCUAAAGAAACAUUUUCAGUAUUAGACCCAUUCUUUUGGUCAUUAGCCUUUGUAAAACAAUCUUUAAGAUAGUGCCCUGUUCUUCCACAAUAAAAGCAUUUUCUUUAUUGUUAUUGUUUGCCUUUCCUUUAUUUGGUUUCUUAUCUUUUCCUUUGGUGUUACUCCAUUUCCUUUUGAUAAAAUUCUUAUUCUUGUUAAAAUUGGAAUGACCGAAGUUACUCACACCUUUCAUAUGUGGUUUUUGAUUUGAUGACACACCCUCAACAUGAAACACCUCUUUGUGUUCAUAUUUCAAUUCCAAUUCUCUGUUCAAUAGAGAACUGUGAAUUAUUUCAACAGUUAGGUCACUUCUAUCAUACUCUAGAGCAUUUCUUAUGUCUUUAUAUUUCUCUCCUAGAGUAUUAAGCAGACCAACUACCUUCUGUUUAUAAGAAAUUUUCUCACCACAGUUUAUUAAGUCUUAUGUGAUCCUAUUGAAUUUAUCUAUAUUAUCUUCGGUAUCAAGGUUAGUAUCAAACUUAAAUCUAAAGAACGGUCUCCAAAGAAAAUAUUUAUUUGGUACAGUCUUAUUAAGAUAGCGUUUUUCUAAGGCAGUCCACAAUUCUACAGUCGUUUUGGUUUCUCCUACUUUUCUAAUUACAGAAUCGGAUAAGUGAAGGAACAUUGUACUCCUGGCCAAUUCAUCUUAUUCAGUUUUCCUAUUUUCAACUAGGGUUUCUGGCCAAGAAUCAUCAAUGGCCUUGGCACAUUUCAACUAUAACAUGAGGGCUUUAAUUGUGUGGCGCUAGAGACUGAAGCCUCCUUUGCCAUCCUAAACUUGGACAUUUACCUUAGAGGUCAUGGUGUGCAGUAGUGUGAAAAUGUUCACAAGUAUGAUAUAACCAAAUAUAUCACAGUAAUAAUUCAGCCAACAAUAUAUCACAAUGAUCAAUGUCAAAUUAUUCCAAAUUUACAAUUUAUUUAUAUAUACAAGGAUAAGUCACAGAUUAAUAGGCAGAAUAGAGCUAUUUAAAUAGUUAUGCUCACACGCAGUAAGCUGUAGGGGAUAAUACAGUGUGUACCUUCACUGAAGAACAAUUUCACACAACGGUAAUUUUAACCCCCGAGUAACCAAGUUUGAGUAUCAGUAUAGAUCAAGAAUAUAUACAGCAGUUCAGAAACAAAAAUUUUGAUUUACAAAAAAAUAAUAUUCACACAGUAACAGAAAACGUAUUUAAAAAAAAAAACUUUUGAGAAAUAAGUUUCUCGAAUCGAAGCCCUAAUCCUCUAAAAUUGUAGGGUUCUCUUAGGGAUCCCUAGACAGAGGCAGAUUUAGGGAAGAUUCACAGGAACCCUAAUUUUUUUUUAUUUUUUUAAAAACGCUUUGUUACCAAAAUCUCACAAGAACUGCAAAUAUUUCAAUAAGAUACUCAAAAACACCAAGAAACCAUCUCGUGUUUAGAAUUUUUUUUUUCAAAAAAAGGAAGGCAAAAGGACAGAUAUGCUCGAAUCUGUAAUUUUCUUCGAACAACUUGAAUAAAAAGAAUUUCACAAAAAAAUCGAUAUGGCAAAAGAACAGAUCUACUCAGAUCUAUAGUAUUUUCCGAACACAGAGACUCAACCACGCUUGAAUCAAAAAAUUUCCAAAGCUUUGAUACCACUAUCGGUCCUAAAUAAUAUGUUUGUGCCUUUAACUCGUAAAUCAAAUGCAGUUAAAAUGAGAAAAUAAUAACACAACACAAGAUUUUUCGACCCAAAAGCCCCUAGGUUCGACGAUUGCUUCCAACGCCUAAUCCCCGUUGAGCAUCCAUUAGGAUUAAGCUCGAAUUCACUAUAAAUCGCCACAAAAAUAGGUAAAAGUUUCGUUACAGAACACUUAGUUCUAACUCUCUCAAAAAUACAAGAUCUUCUCACAAUAACCCAGAACUCACACAAGAGUUCAUCACAAGAAUAUUUUCUCUCAUGAAAUCACAAAGAAAUCGUAGAAGUAUAAGAGUUUUAGAGAAGAUGAAAAACAAAAUGAGAGAGAAGUUGCUGGAAUGAUAUUCACCUG
rnacentral:lncRNA from 1 species